GAUGAACGCUGGCGGCGUGCCUAAUACAUGCAAGUCGAGCGAACGGACGAGAAGCUUGCUUCUCUGAUGUUAGCGGCGGACGGGUGAGUAACACGUGGAUAACCUACCUAUAAGACUGGGAUAACUUCGGGAAACCGGAGCUAAUACCGGAUAAUAUUUUGAACCGCAUGGUUCAAAAGUGAAUGACGGUCUUGCUGUCACUUAUAGAUGGAUCCGCGCUGCAUUAGCUAGUUGGUAAGGUAACGGCUUACCAAGGCAACGAUGCAUAGCCGACCUGAGAGGGUGAUCGGCCACACUGGAACUGGGACACGGUCCAGACUCCUACGGGAGGGAGCAGUAGGGAAUCUUCGGCAAAGGGCGGAAGCCUGACGGAGCAACGCCGCGUGAGUGAUGAAGGUCUUCGGGUCGUAAAACUCUGUUAUUAGGGAAGAACAUAUGUGUAAGUAACUGUGCACAUCUUGACGGUACCUAAUCAGAAAGCCACGGCUAACUACGUG
rnacentral:rRNA from 1 species